ACAGAUUUAAAGAUGCAUAUCCUGAGGUUUGGGUUAAGAAGGAGUAGGUUUCCUGAAACCCGGAGAUAUGUUUCAAACCUGGGACCCCUAGCUUCAGUCUUUAAUACCAAGCAUAAUAUUAGCUUGAACAUUCCAUCCUGGACCAGCGGAGAACGAACAGGAUUGUUUAAUGUUCCUGAACUGGAAAACAGCCAGGGUUUCCAGAUUAUUAAAGAUAAAUGUUUAGAAACUACGGAAACCCUGGUUACUGAAGCUUGCAACCCACAUAGACAAAGAAACGUGGCAGUGAUAUUUGAUGAUCUGAGUGACGAGUUGUGCCGUGUGGCCGAUCUUGCUGAGUUUAUUCGUCUAGCACAUCCGGACGAAUCAUUUGCCUCAGCAGCCCAGGAUGCAUGUAUAGAAGUAAGCGCCCUGGUGGAGACCUUAAACACUAAUAUCGGGAUAUACUCCGCCCUGAAGGAGAGCGUGGAGAAGGGGGACAGGUUCCCGGAGACCCAGGUGGAUAAACAUGUUGCUAAACUCUUCCUCCAGGAUUUUCAUCAGUGCGGGAUACAUCUUGGAGAGAAGGAUAGACAGGAGGUUGUAAAUAUUACUGAUAGAAUACUUAGAACAGGACAAACUUUCUCAUCAAAUUGUCAGUUAUCCAGAGCUGUGAGAACCUCCGUUCUUCCUAAACAGGUUCAAGGACACUUUCAUCAGGAAGGAGAUGUUGCCGUAGUUUCAGGACAUAAUCUGGAUUCUCCCAGUGAUAUGGUUCGUGAGGCAGCGUAUAAAAUCUACUACUGGAGAGAGGAGGAGCAGGAGGAGGUUUUAACAAGCAUGCUGCAGGAUAGGCAUUCUCUGGCACAACUUUGUGGUUAUGAAACAUUUGCACACCGUGCGCUCUCGCAUAGUUUAGCUGAGGCUCCGGAGAACCUGAAGCAAUUUCAUUCUGUUCUGGGAACUGGUUUGCAGUCCAGGGUGGCAAAGGAUCACGCUGCUAUUUUAAAUCUUAAACGAAGAACCAAUCCUCUUUGUAAACCGUUGGCAGUCUGGGAUAUUCCCUACUACUGUGCUCAGGCCAGGACAAGCUGGUUUAAGUUGGACACGGAGAAGAUCUCAGAAUAUUUCUCCCUUGGAGUUGCAAUGGAGGGUUUGAACGACCUGUUUAAAAGCUUGUAUGGAGUAAGGUUGGAAGUAGAUAAAACUGUGGAGGGAGAGCUAUGGUCUCCUGAUGUUUUUAAGCUUGCAGUACUAGACGAUAAUUCAUUACUGGGAUACAUAUACUGUGAUUUCUUUGCCAGGUCCGGUAAACCCUAUCAGGACUGCCAUUUUACCAUCAGAGGUGGGCGUCAAAAGAACGAUGGUUCCUACCAAGAUCCUGUUGUAGUUCUGAUGUUGAACCUCCCUGCUCCAGGUUGGAGAACUCCAACCUUGUUAACUCCGUCCACACUGGACAACCUGUUCCACGAGAUGGGACACGCCAUGCACUCAAUGCUUGGUAGAACCAAAUACCAGCACGUGACGGGAACCAGAUGUUCAACAGACUUUGCCGAGGUUCCCUCCACCCUCAUGGAGUUCUUCGCCGCGGAUCCCAGGGUUCUCUCCAGAAUUAAUAAACAUUACAAGACGGGAGAAAGUUUACCAAUUGAUGUAAUUGAGAAACUUUGCGCAACAAAGAAGAUUUUUGCCGGAGUUGAAUUACAAUCCCAGCUUGUGUUCUCCGCUUUGGACCAGGAAUAUCAUGGGAAAAUGCCUUUGAAAGGAAACACAACUGACGUCCUUGAAGAUAUUCACGGUAGAUUCCAUUCCCUCCCAUUUGUACCCAACACAGCACCUCAGCUACGAUUCUCCCAUCUGGUUGGAUACGGAGCUAGAUACUACUCAUACCUUUAUGCUCGGUCUGUAGCAUCAGCUAUUUGGCAGACAAGUUUCCAGGAUGAUCCUUUCUCGGCUUCAGCUGGGAAAAGGUUUCGGGAUGAAUGUUUGUCUCACGGUGGAGGAAAGCGUAGCCUACUCCUGGUUUCAGAUUUUCUCCAAUAUGAGAUAAAACCGUCCCAGCUCGCUACAGCUUUACUUCACGAACUAGACGAGAAGAAUGAAACAGUCGAGAAACUGCUUCUAAAUAACUAAGAGAAAAAUCGGAUUAAAUUUAAUAUUUAACUAAAACUUAAUUUUUCUAUUUGACCGUAGUUUAAUAUCAAUUGGUAGGUUAUAAUAGAUUUUAUUCAGUAUUGUAAAAUAUCAGAAAGCUUGUUAAAGCUGUUUAAUUUAAUCAUUAUUUAUUCAUCGUUAAAUUCAUCCUGUUAAUUUAUUUCACGGUAUUCAUACAGAAACUGAUCAGUUCCAGAUAGGAUGGAGCAGUCGGAGUUCCUAGAACCAAGAUUGUCCUUGGAACAGAGCAGAGAGAGGGUUAUUCAUUCAUUCCUAACUACCAAACCGGAAAUCAGUAAUCUCGGAAGAUCGUCGGUUUUAGAUCAAGUGAAGAGCUUCCUCCCCACCAUGGCGACUGCGGACAAAGAUCUGAAGACCGCGAUCAAGAACGGAUUGGGUGAGAAGUUGAAUGUGGAGAAUGUGCAGGAAGAUGAGAAAUAUAUUGAGAUGGAUGUGGCUGUCCUGGACGACGGAGACACACCAUGGACCAGCGACUCCGAAGCUGACUCAACCCCCAGCCAAUCAGAAAAUGAUUUCACCAGUGAUUCAGACAUCUCCUCGUCCUCCGCCUGCUCCAGCAGUUCCUGCACCAGUUCAACAAAGUCAACAGUUAGAAAUAAAUCUCAGAAAAGACCUUUAGUAGAAGAUAUAUCAGAACCAGCCGCCAAAUCAACCAGAACGGAAUCCUGAUAUACUUUAUACAUAUAGUCUAGUAGCAAUUCUAUCAUAUGUCAAUCUAACAUUUUAGAAUAAUCAAAUAAUGUAAAAAGCAAUUCCAAACAUAUUCGAGGAUUCAGGAUCCUCAUCAGAAAAAAAGAAUAAUUUUUCUUGUUAGAGGCCAAUUUAACAUAAAAUAUGAUCCUAAUUAUGUUUUGAAAAUACCUUCAGCACAGAAAUAGACCAAGGACUUGUAAUACUAAUGAAGAAAUUUUAUUGAUCAGAACCUAGGUUUCUUGUUCUAUUGAUCCUCUAAAAAAAUCUAGUUUUUCUUUUAUGUUUUAAAAUUGUUCUUACUUCUGGAACCUAUGUCGAUUAAUUUACUGAAUAAUUUCAGAA
rnacentral:misc_RNA from 1 species